CUUACUUCCGGAUUGUGCGUUCCACAUACAGGAAGUGAGUUUUCAUCGACUGCUGCAGCCUUCCAGUGUCCGUUGAGAUCAGGGUUACACAGUAGUGAAGAAGAUCUCUGGUGAGUGUGAGACACCCAGCAGCCAUCCUCGUGUGUCAGGUGGACUAAGCAGGACCCACAGCCCCAUCACAGUGCCUCCACCUCACUCACUGAUACAUGAGAGAGACAGUGACCAGAAGAUCCUGGAACUCAACAACAAGAUCAUUCAGCUGCUGACAGGAGAGGAGGGGGAGUAUAUAGAGGAACACAGGGGUCUGUACAAGGACGUGAUGAUGGAGAAUCACCGGCCCCUCACAU